rnacentral:rRNA from 1 species
GAUGAACGCUGGCGGCGUGCCUAAUACAUGCAAGUCGAGCGAACGGACGAGAAGUUUGUUUCUCUGAUGUUAGCGGCGGACGGGUGAGUAGCACGUGGAUAACCCACCUAUAAGACUGGGAUAAAUUCGGGACAAUGGAGCUAAUACCGGAUAAUAAUUUGAUCCGCAUGGUUCACAAAUGAAAGACGAUCUUGUUGCUACCAAUUGAUGGAUCCGUGCUGUAUUAGCUAGUUGGUAAGGUAACGGGUUACCAAGGCAACGAUAGAGAGACGACCUGAGAGGGGGGUCGGCCACCCUGGGACGGAGAAAAGGCCCAGAAUCCCAAGGGAAGCCGCAGUAGGGAAUCUUCGGCAAUGGGGGGAAGGCUGAACGAGCAACGCCGCGGGAGUGAAGGAGGGUUUCGGAUCUUAAAACCUUGUUGUAAGAGAAGAAAGAGUGUGAGAGUGAAAAGUUCACACUGUGACGGUACCUAAUCAGAAAGCGACGGCUAACUACGU